UGUCGGAUUAUUGGGCGUAAGGGCUCGCAGGCGGUUUCUUAAGUCUGAUGUGAAAGCCCCCGGCUCAACCGGGGAGGGUCAUUGGAAACUGGGAAACUUGAGUGCAGAAGAGGAGAGUGGAAUUCCACGUGUAGCGGUGAAAUGCGUAGAGAUGUGGAGGAACACCAGUGGCGAAGGCGACUCUCUGGUCUGUAACUGACGCUGAGGAGCGAAAGCGUGGGGAGCGAACAGGAUUAGAUACCCUGGUAGUCCACGCCGUAAACGAUGAGUGCUAAGUGUUAGGGGGUUUCCGCCCCUUAGUGCUGCAGCUAACGCAUUAAGCACUCCGCCUGGGGAGUACGGUCGCAAGACUGAAACUCAAAGGAAUUGACGGGGGCCCGCACAAGCGGUGGAGCAUGUGGUUUAAUUCGAAGCAACGCGAAGAACCUUACCAGGUCUUGACAUCCUCUGACAACCCUAGAGAUAGGGCUUUCCCUUCGGGGACAGAGUGACAGGUGGGGCAUGGUUGUCGUCAGCUCGUGUCGUGAGAUGUUGGGUUAAGUCCCGCAACGAGCGCAACCCUUGAUCUUAGUUGCCAGCAUUCAGUUGGGCACUCGGAGGUGACUGCCGGUGACAAACCGGGAGGGAGGGGGGGAUGACGUCAAAUCAUCAUGGCCGCUUGUGGACCUGGGCUAGACACGUGCUACAAUGGACAGAACAAGGGGCUGCGGGACCGCAGGGUUUAGCCGGUCCCAUAGUCGGUCUCAAGUGGGAUCGGAGUCUGGAGCUGGACGUGGGGAAGCGGGA
rnacentral:rRNA from 2 species